CAGCAGCCGCGGUAAUACAGAGGGUGCGAGCGUUACUCGGAAUUACUGGGCGUAAAGCGUGCGUAGGUGGUGGUUUAAGUCCGUUGUGAAAGCCCUGGGCUCAACCUGGGAAUUGCAGUGGAUACUGGGUCACUAGAGUGUGGUAGAGGAUAGUGGAAUUUCCGGUGUAGCAGUGAAAUGCGUAGAGAUCGGAAGGAACAUCUGUGGCGAAGGCGACUAUCUGGGCCAACACUGACACUGAGGCACGAAAGCGUGGGGAGCAAACAGGAUUAGAUACCCCGGUAGUCCCUGUCUCUUAUCC
rnacentral:rRNA from 1 species